AUACGUAGGGGGCGAGCGUUGUCCGAAGUUACUGGGCGUAAAGCGCGCGUAGGCGGGCACUUAAGUCGGAUGUGAAAUCUCCACGGCUCAACCGGGAAAUUGCAUCCGAAACUGGGCGCCUUGAGGUAUGGAGAGGGAAGUGGAAUUCCUGGUGUAGCGGUGAAAUGCGUAGAUAUCAGGAGGAACACCCGUGGCGAAGGCGGCUUCCUGGCCAUAUCCUGACGCUGAGGUGCGAAAGCCAGGGGAGCGAACGGGAUUAGAUACCCCGGUAGUCCUGGCCGUAAACGAUGGAUACUAGGUGUUAGUGGUAUCGACCCCACUAGUGCCGUAGCUAACGCAUUAAGUAUCCCGCCUGGGGAGUACGGCCGCAAGGUUGAA
rnacentral:rRNA from 1 species